AAAUCCCCAUUGGUCAUGGCAUUGCCCACAUCUCACACAGCUGGUAAUUAUCCCAGACACACAGGUGUUUGCUCCUGGAACUAGUCUAAGAGAAUGCUCCCAAUGUGAACUCGGGCCUUAAGCAAUGAAGGUUAACAUGCUCAUCGCUUGAGCAGCCCUUUGAAGUUCAAAAUAUAUUUGAACAUUUAAAGAAAGUGUCC